rnacentral:rRNA from 1 species
GGUUAAGCGACUAAGCGUACACGGUGGAUGCCCUGGCAGUCAGAGGCGAUGAAGGACGUGCUAAUCUGCGAUAAGCGUCGGUAAGGUGAUAUGAACCGUUAUAACCGGCGAUUUCCGAAUGGGGAAACCCAGUGUGAUUCGUCACACUAUCAUUAACUGAAUCCAUAGGUUAAUGAGGCGAACCGGGGGAACUGAAACAUCUAAGUACCCCGAGGAAAAGAAAUCAACCGAGAUUCCCCCAGUAGCGGCGAGCGAACGGGGAGGAGCCCAGAGCCUGAAUCAGUGUGUGUGUUAGUGGAAGCGUCUGGAAAGGCGCGCGAUACAGGGUGACAGCCCCGUACACAAAAAUGCACAUGCUGUGAGCUCGAUGAGUAGGGCGGGACACGUGGUAUCCUGUCUGAAUAUGGGGGGACCAUCCUCCAAGGCUAAAUACUCCUGACUGACCGAUAGUGAACCAGUACCGUGAGGGAAAGGCGAAAAGAACCCCGGCGAGGGGAGUGAAAAAGAACCUGAAACCGUGUACGUACAAGCAGUGGGAGCACGCUUAGGCGUGUGACUGCGUACCUUUUGUAUAAUGGGUCAGCGACUUAUAUUCUGUAGCAAGGUUAACCGAAUAGGGGAGCCGAAGGGAAACCGAGUCUUAACUGGGCGUUAAGUUGCAGGGUAUAGACCCGAAACCCGGUGAUCUAGCCAUGGGCAGGUUGAAGGUUGGGUAACACUAACUGGAGGACCGAACCGACUAAUGUUGAAAAAUUAGCGGAUGACUUGUGGCUGGGGGUGAAAGGCCAAUCAAACCGGGAGAUAGCUGGUUCUCCCCGAAAGCUAUUUAGGUAGCGCCUCGUGAAUUCAUCUCCGGGGGUAGAGCACUGUUUCGGCAAGGGGGUCAUCCCGACUUACCAACCCGAUGCAAACUGCGAAUACCGGAGAAUGUUAUCACGGGAGACACACGGCGGGUGCUAACGUCCGUCGUGAAGAGGGAAACAACCCAGACCGCCAGCUAAGGUCCCAAAGUCAUGGUUAAGUGGGAAACGAUGUGGGAAGGCCCAGACAGCCAGGAUGUUGGCUUAGAAGCAGCCAUCAUUUAAAGAAAGCGUAAUAGCUCACUGGUCGAGUCGGCCUGCGCGGAAGAUGUAACGGGGCUAAACCAUGCACCGAAGCUGCGGCAGCGACGCUUAUGCGUUGUUGGGUAGGGGAGCGUUCUGUAAGCCUGUGAAGGUGUGCUGUGAGGCAUGCUGGAGGUAUCAGAAGUGCGAAUGCUGACAUAAGUAACGAUAAAGCGGGUGAAAAGCCCGCUCGCCGGAAGACCAAGGGUUCCUGUCCAACGUUAAUCGGGGCAGGGUGAGUCGACCCCUAAGGCGAGGCCGAAAGGCGUAGUCGAUGGGAAACAGGUUAAUAUUCCUGUACUUGGUGUUACUGCGAAGGGGGGACGGAGAAGGCUAUGUUGGCCGGGCGACGGUUGUCCCGGUUUAAGCGUGUAGGCUGGUUUUCCAGGCAAAUCCGGAAAAUCAAGGCUGAGGCGUGAUGACGAGGCACUACGGUGCUGAAGCAACAAAUGCCCUGCUUCCAGGAAAAGCCUCUAAGCAUCAGGUAACAUCAAAUCGUACCCCAAACCGACACAGGUGGUCAGGUAGAGAAUACCAAGGCGCUUGAGAGAACUCGGGUGAAGGAACUAGGCAAAAUGGUGCCGUAACUUCGGGAGAAGGCACGCUGAUAUGUAGGUGAAGUCCCUCGCGGAUGGAGCUGAAAUCAGUCGAAGAUACCAGCUGGCUGCAACUGUUUAUUAAAAACACAGCACUGUGCAAACACGAAAGUGGACGUAUACGGUGUGACGCCUGCCCGGUGCCGGAAGGUUAAUUGAUGGGGUUAGCGCAAGCGAAGCUCUUGAUCGAAGCCCCGGUAAACGGCGGCCGUAACUAUAACGGUCCUAAGGUAGCGAAAUUCCUUGUCGGGUAAGUUCCGACCUGCACGAAUGGCGUAAUGAUGGCCAGGCUGUCUCCACCCGAGACUCAGUGAAAUUGAACUCGCUGUGAAGAUGCAGUGUACCCGCGGCAAGACGGAAAGACCCCGUGAACCUUUACUAUAGCUUGACACUGAACAUUGAGCCUUGAUGUGUAGGAUAGGUGGGAGGCUUUGAAGUGUGGACGCCAGUCUGCAUGGAGCCGACCUUGAAAUACCACCCUUUAAUGUUUGAUGUUCUAACGUGGACCCGUAAUCCGGGUUGCGGACAGUGUCUGGUGGGUAGUUUGACUGGGGCGGUCUCCUCCUAAAGAGUAACGGAGGAGCACGAAGGUUGGCUAAUCCUGGUCGGACAUCAGGAGGUUAGUGCAAUGGCAUAAGCCAGCUUGACUGCGAGCGUGACGGCGCGAGCAGGUGCGAAAGCAGGUCAUAGUGAUCCGGUGGUUCUGAAUGGAAGGGCCAUCGCUCAACGGAUAAAAGGUACUCCGGGGAUAACAGGCUGAUACCGCCCAAGAGUUCAUAUCGACGGCGGUGUUUGGCACCUCGAUGUCGGCUCAUCACAUCCUGGGGCUGAAGUAGGUCCCAAGGGUAUGGCUGUUCGCCAUUUAAAGUGGUACGCGAGCUGGGUUUAGAACGUCGUGAGACAGUUCGGUCCCUAUCUGCCGUGGGCGCUGGAGAAUUGAGGGGGGCUGCUCCUAGUACGAGAGGACCGGAGUGGACGCAUCACUGGUGUUCGGGUUGUCAUGCCAAUGGCACUGCCCGGUAGCUAAAUGCGGAAGAGAUAAGUGCUGAAAGCAUCUAAGCACGAAACUUGCCCCGAGAUGAGUUCUCCCUGACUCCUUGAGAGUCCUGAAGGAACGUUGAAGACGACGACGUUGAUAGGCCGGGUGUGUAAGCGCAGCGAUGCGUUGAGCUAACCGGUACUAAUGAACCGUGAGGCUUAACCUU